GGCGGCGUGCCUAACACAUGCAAGUCGAACGAGAAAGUGGGGGCAACCCUGCGAGUACAGUGGCAGACGGGUGAGUAACACGUGAACAACCUACCCUUGAGUGGGGAAUAACACCGCGAAAGCGGUGCUAAAACCGCAUAAAAUCCUUUUAUCGCAUGGUGAGGGGAUCAAAAGCGCAAGUUGCUUGAGGAGGGGUUCGCGGCUGAUUAGCUAGUUGGUGAGGUAACGGCCCACCAAGGCAACGAUCAGUAGCCGGCCUGAGAGGGCGAACGGCCACACUGGAACUGAGACACGGUCCAGACUCCUACGGGAGGCAGCAGUGGGGAAUUUUGCGCAAUGGGCGAAAGCCUGACGCAGCAACGCCGCGUGGAGGAUGAAGGCCUUCGGGUCGUAAACUCCUGUCGAUGGGGACGAAAGCCCUGCAAAGGGAUUGACUGUACCCGUUGAGGAAGCCACGGCUAACUCCGUGCCAGCAGCCGCGGUAAUACGGAGGUGGCAAGCGUUGUUCGGAAUUACUGGGCGUAAAGGGCGCGUAGGCGGCAAGACAAGUCAGAUGUGAAAGCCCCGGGCUUAACCUGGGAACUGCAUCUGAAACUGUAAUGCUUGAGUUCUGGAGGGGGUAGUGGAAUUCCCAGUGUAGCGGUGAAAUGCGUAGAUAUUGGGAGGAACACCAGCGGCGAAGGCGGCUACCUGGACAGUGACUGACGCUGAGGCGCGAAAGCUAGGGGAGCGAACGGGAUUAGAUACCCUGGUAGUC
rnacentral:rRNA from 1 species